GAUGAAGAACGUAGCGAAAUGCGAUAAGUAAUGUGAAUUGCAGAAUUCAGUGAAUCAUCGAAUCUUUGAACGCACAUUGCGCCCGCCAGUAUUCUGGCGGGCAUGCCUGUUCGAGCGUCAUUUCCACCAUCAGGCCCCCGGGCCUGUGUUGGGGACCUGCGGCUGCCCGCAGGCCCCGAAAUUCAGUGGCGGUCGCGCCGUAGCAACCGAGCGUAGUAACUAAAACGUCUCGCUCUGGCUCGCUGGGCGCGCUCCGGCCGUAAAACACCCCCCCUUUUCGCAAAGGUUGACCUCGGAUCUGGUAGGAAUACCCGCUGAACUUAAGCAUAUCAAUAAGCGGAGGA
rnacentral:misc_RNA from 1 species